rfam:Myotis davidii contig172921, whole genome shotgun sequence.
UGCGGUUAUUGGGUGAUGCACCCCGCAAUCGGGCUCCCUUCUCUCUGUUUCCAGGUGUGUCACCCAAGAACUGAA